rnacentral:rRNA from 1 species
GAUGAACGCUGGCGGCGUGCCUAAUACAUGCAAGUCGAGCGAACAGACGAUGAGCUUGCUCCUCUGACGAUAGCGGCGGACGGGUGAGUAACACGUGGAUAACCUACCUAUAAUACUUGGAUAACUUCGUGAAACCGGAGCUAAUACCGGAUAAUAUAUUGAACCGCAUGGUUCAAUAGUUAAAGACGGUUUUGCUGUCACUUAUAGAUGGAUCCGCGCCGCAUUAGCUAGUUGGUAAGGUAACGGCUUACCAAGGCGACGAUGCGUAGCCGACCUGAGAGGGUGAUCGGCCACACUGGAACUGAGACACGGUCCAGACUCCUACGGGAGGCAGCAGUAGGGAAUCUUCCGCAAUGGGCGAAAGCCUGACGGAGCAACGCCGCGUGAGUGAUGAAGGUCUUCGGAUCGUAAAACUCUGUUAUUAGGGAAGAAAAAAUGUGUAAGUAACUAUGCACGUCUUGACGGUACCUAAUCAGAAAGCCACGGCUAACUACGUG